CGCGUAGGUGGUCCCUUCAAGUCAGAUGUGAAAUCUCCCGGCUUAACUGGGAGCGGUCAUCUGAUACUGCUGGACUUGAGGGUGGUAGAGGGAGGUGGAAUUCCCGGUGUAGUGGUGAAAUGCGUAGAUAUCGGGAGGAACACCAGUGGCGAAGGCGGCCUCCUAGGCCAUUCCUGACACUGAGGCGCGAAAGCGUGGGGAGCGAACAGGAUCAGAUACCCUGGUAGUCCACGCCCUAAACUGUGGAAACUAGGUACAGGGAGUAUCGACCCUUCCUGCGCCGUAGCUAACGCGUUAAGUUUCCCGCCUGGGGACUACGGUCGCAAGACUAA
rnacentral:rRNA from 1 species